UAAGAGGUCCCGUCUGCCCCCUGACUAUAUGUUCAACGGCCGCGGUAUCUUAACCGUGCGAAGGUAGCGUAAUCAUUUGUCUUUUAAUUGAGGACCCGUAUGAAUGACAUAACGAGGGCUCAACUGUCUCCUUCUUUCAGUCAAUGAAAUUGAUCUCCCCGUGCAGAAGCGGGGAUUUAUACAUAAGACGAGAAGACCCUAUGAAGCUUUAGACACUCGGACAUACCCUGUCAAGACCCCCAUAUUAAAGGGCCAGAACCUGCCCACCAUGUCCCUGUCUUAGGUUGGGGCGACCCCGGGGAAACAAAAAUCCCCCACGUGGAACAGUAGAAUUCACUAUCCACAGCCAAGAGCCACGACUCUAAAAACCAGAACCUCUGACCACAAUAAUGACCCGGCAAUGCCGAUCAACGAACCAAGUUACUCUAGGGAUAACAGCGCAAUCCCCUUUUAGAGACCGCAUCAACAAGGGGGUUUACGACCUCGAUGUUGGAUCAGGACAUCCUAAUGGUGCAGCCGCUAUUAAGGGUUCGUUUGUUCAACG
rnacentral:rRNA from 1 species